rnacentral:rRNA from 1 species
GACGAACGCUGGCGGCGUGCCUAAUACAUGCAAGUGGGACGCAAGGAAACACACUGUGCUUGCACACCGUGUUUUCUUGAGUCGCGAACGGGUGAGUAACGCGUAGGUAACCUGCCUAUUAGCGGGGGAUAACUAUUGGAAACGAUAGCUAAUACCGCAUAAUAUUAAUUAUUGCAUGACAAUUGAUUGAAAGAUGCAAGCGCAUCACUAGUAGAUGGACCUGCGUUGUAUUAGCUAGUUGGUAAGGUAAGAGCUUACCAAGGCGACGAUACAUAGCCGACCUGAGAGGGUGAUCGGCCACACUGGGACUGAGACACGGCCCAGACUCCUACGGGAGGCAGCAGUAGGGAAUCUUCGGCAAUGGACGAAAGUCUGACCGAGCAACCCCGCGUGAGUGAAGAAGGUUUUCGGAUCGUAAAGCUCUGUUGUAAGUCAAGAACGUGUGUGAGAGUGGAAAG